rnacentral:lncRNA from 1 species
AACCAGGAAAAUGCAGGGAAGAAAAAAAUCUUAGGAGCGCUCAUACAAGAGUACUCAUAUAAGAUCCAGAUUAUUGAAAGGAUGGAACAUUGGAUUGGAAGAAAGACAAAUGUCCACACACGUUCUUCUCUGCUAAAUGCCUUCCGGGGGAUGAACAAGAUACUAGAUGAACUCCUGCUGGAUGAAAAGAGCCUUCUACAGAGGAGUGAGAAGAAGAAAACAUUUGAGAAGCCAGGGGCUUUCUCUCCAGAGCUGAAAUGGAAGAUCCAGGAGUUUUCUGAUAAAAAUCCCAAUCUAACCACUAAUAUGAAGAACCUAGCUCUCUCUCUGCCUCUGCCAGGACCAGUUGUUGUGACGGCAUACCCAGCUUGUUCCUUCCUCGCCCAGUCUGAUGGUCGUAAAAGUGUGAAACAUGGAACUGAGCCCCAAGACCUACGUGAUAAUCUUGAGAAAUUCAGCAAUCCCAUGUAUGUGUUCAGGCGGAAGGGCGUUACAACCCAUGUUUAUGCUGAGGGAUUUGUUAAGGGAAGGGAGGGAAUCUGGCCUGUGGAGGUGGCCACCAAGUCUGUGAGAGGAAAAGACCAUGUUUCCAUUGGUCCUAAGGAACGGAUGUGGGCUAUGGGCAAGUGGAUAGGUAGUUAG